CUAGCGGACUUCAUGGCUGUAUAAUAAAACUUCAACAGCACUAACCUGGCUUAAACCAUACAUGUUUUUGUGCACAUGACAACAGCAAAAACAGUGAAGAUAUGUUCCAAAAAGUAAGACUAGGUUAAUUCGUGUUGAGCAUUAAUUUAUUUGUGAUGUCAUGUGUAAAACGAGUAAUCAUUUAGUAGUAGUAAAAUAAGCAUUUUUUAAAUUAUUAUUAUGAGAAAGUGAUAUUGUGUGUGACACAUAACUAUACCUUGGCAGGUAAAGUUACUAUUAAGACUACAAAUAAUUUCUUAACUUUUUAUAUUGACAGGCAUUUUGACAAGAUGAGAGGUUCAAUGAACUUAAGUCACCACAGACUGUAUAUAUAUAAAAACACUGCACAGAUCACAUAAACUAUCACAUAUAAGGUAAAUGACAUACAAAAUUAAAAUACCCAGAGGAAAACUUAUGGUGGGGGUUAUGAAAAGCCACCUAGUGUCAUAUGACUGAAUUUUUAUGAGGCUAAUAUAUUGGUAAAAAACACAAUUAGGUUUGAGACCAAAGGCUAAAAGUGACUGAUAAAUGCAGCGUGGCAUUUCUGGGCUUUUGAAAAGUUUUAAAAAUAUAAAAUACGAAGAGUGAUAGUUGACUUUGUUGAUGGCUAGAGGUUUCCUGUCAAUAGUUUUAUAGGCUUUUCUUUUACAAUGGCGGCCUAUGGGGAAAAUGCUUUUUCGUUGCUGUACCUGGAAAAAAACACUGUUGCAAGGCUGAGCGGCGGCACCGUGUCCAGUUCUUAUGAUACACAGUAUGAUCCAGACCAUAUCGGUAUCCUACCUUCCGCCCUAAAAGACCAAUCAGAGGCAGCUGCUAGCCGGAACAGAAUCACUUGGCCAAUUGGCGUCCUGUCUGCCGUGUCCCCAUUGGCCAGGACGUCUGGGAGGGGAGCGCGGGGAGGCGGAGAAACGUAGUCGGAAAGCAGAUUUAAACUAAUGUCAGAACCAUCACCUCGGUUUGUCAGUACUGUUAGGAAACUCAAUUACCGAAGAAGCCUGGGUGCUAAAACAAGCAGUGGAUCUGUUUUUUUUGGCGAACACAAAUGAGGCUGGACACUGAAUACACCUGCGGCGCGAAGGUGUCACCACUUCGUCCACAACAUCGUCCAUGAUUGCUGAGACAUUGUCCGCGAUCAGAGAGACAUUGUUGAGGAUGAGGGAGACAUCGUCCACGAUCAGAGACAUUGUCCAUGACUCGUGGUGACUCGGUCCCCGAUAAGUCGGCAUUGCUGGCGUUCAGAGAGACAUUGUCAAUGAUCGUAGGGACUUUGUCCAUAAUCUCAGAGACAUUGUCCGUGAACGCAGAGACGUCGUCCACAAUCGCAGAGACAUGGUCCAUGAUCGGAGAGACAUUGUUGAGGAUGAGGGAGACAUCGUCCACGAUCAGAGACAUUGUUCGCGAUCGCAGAGACCUUGUCAAAGACGAGAGAGACGUUGUCCAUGAUCAGAGACAUUGUCCCAUGCUUCGUAGAGCUCUGUACAAGAAUCGGUAGAGACACUGUGGUUCCUCGAUUCGACGGCAUGACCGCGAUCAUGGAGACAUUUGUCGAUGAUCACAGAGACAGCGUCUAUGAUCUCAGAGACAUCGUCCACGAUCAUAAAGACAUUGUCCAUGAUCACAGAGACUUUGUCCAUAAUCUCAGAGACAUUGUCCGCGAUCACAGAGACGUAGUCCACGAUCACAGAGAGUCUUCGUACAAUGAAGAAGUUCUUUGAGACCAGGACAGAGGCCUUCAGGUGUCACCACUUCAUCCACGACAUCGUCCACGAUCACCGAGACAUGGUCCAUGAUCGGAGAGACAUUGUUGAGGAUGAGGGAGACAUCGUCCACGAUCAGAGACAUUGUCCACGAUCGCAGAGACCUUGUCAAAGACGAGAGAGACGUUGUCCAUGAUCAGAGACAUUGUCCCAUGCUUCGUAGAGCUCUGUACAAGAAUCGGUAGAGACACUGUGGUUCCUCGAUUCGACGGCAUGACCGCGAUCAUGGAGACAUUUGUCGAUGAUCACAGAGACAGCGUCUAUGAUCUCAGAGACAUCGUCCACGAUCAUAAAGACAUUGUCCAUGAUCACAGAGACUUUGUCCAUAAUCUCAGAGACAUUGUCCGCGAUCACAGAGACGUAGUCCACGAUCACAGAGAGUCUUCGUACAAUGAAGAAGUUCUUUGAGACCAGGACAGAGGCCUUCAGGUGUCACCACUUCAUCCACAACAUCGUCCAUGAUUGCUGAGACGUCGUCCGCGAUGAGAGAGACAUUGUUGAGGAUGAGGGAGACAUCGUCCACGAUCAGAGACAUUGUCCAUGACUCGUGGUGACUCGGUCCCCGAUAAGUCGGCAUUGCUGGCGUUCAGAGAGACAUUGUCAAUGAUCGUAGGGACUUUGUCCAUAAUCUCAGAGACAUUGUCCGUUAUAGCAGAGACGUCGUCCACAGUCGCCGAGACAUGGUCCAUGAUCGGAGAGACAUUGUUGAGGAUGAGGGAGACAUCGUCCACGAUCAGAGACAUUGUCCACGAUCGCAGAGACCUUG